rnacentral:rRNA from 1 species
CUCUAAUGAGACUGCCGGUGACAAACCGGAGGAAGGUGGGGAUGACGUCAAGUCCUCAUGGCCCUUAUGGGUAGGGCUUCACACGUCAUACAAUGGUCGGUACAGAGGGUUGCCAAGCCGCGAGGUGGAGCCAACCCCUUAAAGCCGAUCGUAGUCCGGAUCGUAGUCUGCAACUCGACUACGUGAAGUCGGGAUCGCUAGUAAUCGCAGAUCAGCAUGCUCGCGGUCGAUACGUUCCGGCCUU